UCGUGCUAGGUGGGGAGCCAGCGGUGCCCUGUAACCUGCAAUCCGCUAUAGCAGGACCGAUGCCGUUGAGAGGCCCUUGCUGUGCAUGGAUUCACCAGUAAGCGGUGUUGAAACUUUAGUCCUUCGCAACGGGCAGCUACCAAACCCCGUCAGACCCGGAAGGGAGCAGCGGAAGGUACGUUUUCCUGUGUGCCGAUGGUAAUCUAAAGUGGAGCUGGCUGCUGAUGUUAUUCAUGUUCCGGAAGCUCCAAUCUACGGUGCACGA
rnacentral:SRP_RNA from 1 species